AUGCCAGCUCCUCCUUCCUCCCGCCGCGGGACAUGCACAACACCAAUCCAAUCCAUGCCCUCUGCCCGCUGGCCAGAGAAAGCUAUAAUGUUGAAUGAAUCAACCAAAAAGUUAUGGUCCAGAGCCCUAGACAAACAAAAAGUUAUGCAGGGAAAUCACCUAAAUCAACAGCAGCCAUGGGUUGUUCAGAUGGGGUGUGCGACCUCAAUCCCUUGCAAACACGCAGCUGGUAGAUGGCCAAGAGCGGGGCAGGCAUUGGUGAGAAAUAUGGAUGAUGCACGCGAACGAAUUGGCACUGCCAUCUCCACUGCACUGAAGGAGAUCAAGCCCAUUUCCAUCAGCAUCACCUAG
rnacentral:rRNA from 1 species